rnacentral:rRNA from 1 species
UAGGGAAUCUUCCACAAUGGACGAAAGUCUGAUGGAGCAACGCCGCGUGAGUGAAGAAGGGUUUCGGCUCGUAAAACUCUGUUGUUAAAGAAGAACAUAUCUGAGAGUAACUGUUCAGGUAUUGACGGUAUUUAACCAGAAAGCCACGGCUAACCACGUGUCAG